GACGAACGCUGGCGGCGUGCUUAACACAUGCAAGUCAAGGGGGCCCAGCAAUGGGCAACCGGCGAACGGGUGCGUAACACGUGAGCAACCUACCGAACUGUGGGGGAUAGCCGGCCUAACGGCCGAGUAAUACCGCAUACGCUCUCAGGGGAGGCAUUUCUUUGAGAGGAAACCUACGGGACAGAUCGAGGGGCUCGCGGCCUAUCAGCUAGUUGGCGAGGUAACGGCUCACCAAGGCAACGACGGUAGCUGGUCUGAGAGGAUGGCCAGCCACAUUGGGACUGAGAUACGGCCCAGACUCCUACGGGAGGCAGCAGGUGGGGAAUCUUGCGCAAUGGCCUAACGGCUGACGCAGCGACGCCGCGUGUGGGAUGAAGCUCUUCGGAGUGUAAACACUGUUGCCCGGGACGAAUAGCUCGAUUAAUCGAGCCUGACGGUACCGGGUGAGGAAGCACCGGCUAACUCCGUGCCAGCCGCCGCAGU
rnacentral:rRNA from 1 species